ACAAAGAAAAGGCAAAACACGCGAAAACGUGUUACGCAAAACCACCGGUCUAAGGGUUGAUUUGCUUUAUAGCAAGUUAAUCUACGACAGCGGAGUCACCUCG
rnacentral:ncRNA from 1 species